GUCAGCCGGUGGGCGGGCGCCGGGCCCCUCUCGGCGACGGGGGGGCCUGAGGAAGCUCCGCCACUCCGCGGGCCCGCGCCGCCGCAAGGCGGUGGGGGGAAUCCCCAGGCAACGGCUCAGAAACGAGACCCCUCCCCCGUCGAUGGGGAUGAGGCGGUGGGGGCUUACCCCCCGUCGGCCUCCGGCAACGGAGGCCUUCCGCUGAGGAGGCGGGGGAGGAGGUUGAAACGGCCGCCCCGCGGGCUAGGGCCAAGCGGGGCCUGUGAGCUCCCGCGGCGAGGCCCGGGUGGGCCCCCAGACGAAUCCCGCCUAGAAACAGAAGGCGGGCUACCACCGGCUGAC
rnacentral:RNase_P_RNA from 1 species